UGUCACUCAGAGAGAAGCUGGGGAGCAGCUGAAUUUUGGGAACCAGGUGCUUUCAGCAGCUGGAUCAAAGAUGAAAAGAUGAGUGCACUAAAGUCAAGGGGAUUGAUGCUGAUGCAUUCAUUACUAAUGCUCAUUAGAUUUUCCACCAGACCCUUGUCAAUAAGGGGACUUGGACAAGCUGCUGAACCUUGGAACCUCCUUUCCUUAUCUGGAAAUGGGAAAAUCAAAAAG
rnacentral:lncRNA from 1 species